UUAGCCUUCUUUUUCUCUUUUCCUUCCCUCUCUCCUUCUGCUUCUUGCUUCUCUUGUCCCUUCUCUUCCUCGCCUACUUUCUUCUCCCGAUUAUCCUGCCCCUUUCUAAUCGAAAUUCAGUAUUGGUGACAUAAGCUGGCAGCGUCUCCGAUCAGCUACUCCCCCUGUUUCUCUCUCUCCCUCCCUCUUUCUUCCCCUUUAUUCAGGUGUGUAUGGAUGAACUCUAUUACGACAGGGCUAAUACGUGUUUUUUCUGAUGAACUAUAGACCAAAUUCUCAUGACACACUUUUUGCAGAGAGUAACCUUUUCAAAGUGUAUUUAAAACACACAAUGUUUGUCAGAUGGCCCGGGCAUACUUAACAAAAGAGAUUGAACGCGUAAACCUACAUAUAUGCUGUCCAAAUCAUUAUUUGAGCCCACGUAUCAAGAUUUAUUCUAUUUUCUUUAUUUUUUUAUUUUAAUAGAUAAAAAGAAAACAGAAAAAAGGCACCAGCCCCUUCACUCCCAAUUGAACCCCUACCAUCCCCCGAUGUCCCCCACUUGAACACCGUUACAUUGGCCUCCGCCACACCCCUUUUCUUGUUCUUCCUUACUUACUUUUUAUGUGUUUUGUAAUUUUAUUAUUUUUGUACCCAAAUCCCCUUCCUUUUCGUUUAUUCCCAAAGUUACUAUAUAGCCACAUUCUACACCGGUUACUCCAUUGUCACCAUCUAAUCUUUGCUAAAUUCUUCUUAAAUCAGAAGUUAUAUGUGAUUUAUAUUGGACGGUUAUUUUAUUGAAUUCUUUUUUGUGAUUUUGGUAAUUAGCUUAUAUACUUGUAUCUUGAAUUUCGAUUUUGGCAUCUUUGUGGUAAAAUUUCUGUUUUCACUAAAAGGGGUUGGAUGUUUGUAUAUUGCUCUGUCGGUGAUAGAUCCCCUUUUCCCCUAUGAGUUGUGUGAUUUAUGGGUUAUUUUUUGAAUGAUUUUAUGAUUUUUCGUUCUUAGUUUUUUUGUUGGUUCAAUGGGUCUUAAUUGCAUUUUGAACUUUGUAUUUGGAACAGAGGUAGAUUUUGCUGGGACAAAGUAGUAGUUUUGAUUUUUGAAGGUCUUGGGAGUGGUGACAUCACCCAUGGUUCAGAUGAGGAAGAUGGAGAAAUUGGAUUUUUUGUAAUUAGGGGUAGAAUUGUAUUUGUAAGUAAAAAAUAAACAACAAUUAUCUAGUAUAGUCUCACAAAGUGGGGUUUGGGGAGGGUAAUAUAUAGAGAGUCUUACCCCUACCCGAAAAAAAUGACACAUGUUAUAAUCUUAUAGUACAUGAUAUGCACCUCGUUAAAAAAAGUGGUCAAAAUAAAAGUUGUGUGUCUUAGCUAGAUUUUUAGAAAGGUUGAGUGUGUAAAGUAAUUUUCGUCAACAAAAACUAUAUCACGAGGAUUUGAUCUAUGUUCAGGGGUAAGUUAUGUAUUUUGCCAAUAAUGAACUUUAUUAUUUCACAGGUUUACACACACUCUCUCCCUCCCUUUUCAUUGCCCAAGCAGCAACAUUGUCGUUGCACCAAUCAGGUAAGAACCCUAUUCGCCUUCUUUUUCUCUUUCCCUUUCUGUCUCCCAUUAUUCUUCUUGCUUCUCUUUCUGUCUCUCUUCUCCUUCCUCUUUCUCGCUUGCUUUCUUCUCUAGGAUAUCCUGCCUUUUUCUAACCAAAAUCUAUUGUUGGUGAAAUAAGUCGACAGCGUCUCCAAUUCCGAUCACCUAUUCUUCCUGUUUCUCUCUCUCUCCCUUCCUCUUUCCUCCCUUUUAUUCAGGUGUGUAUGGGUGAUAUAUGUCAGGGCAUGUGUUUAUUUGGAUAUGCGAUAGAGCGGAUAAAGUUUGAGCGAGUGAACAUUCCCC
rnacentral:lncRNA from 1 species